GAUGAACGCUGGCGGCGUGCCUAAUACAUGCCAGUCGAGCGAACGGACGAGAAGCUUGCUUCUCUGAUGUUAGCGGCGGACGGGUGAGUAACACGUGGAUAACCUACCUAUAAGACUGGGAUAACUUCGGGAAACCGUAGCUAAUACCGGAUAAUAUUUUGAACCGCAUGGUUCAAAAGUGAAAGACGGUCUUGCUGUCACUUAUAGAUGGAUCCGCGCUGCAUUAGCUAGUUGGUAAGGUAACGGCUUACCAAGGCAACGAUGCAUAGCCGACCUGAGAGGGUGAUCGGCCACACUGGAACUGAGACACGGUCCAGACUCCUACGGGAGGCAGCAGUAGGGAAUCUUCCGCAAUGGGCGAAAGCCUGACGGAGCACCGCCGCGUGAGUGAUGAAGGUCUUCGGAUCGUAAAACUCUGUUAUUAGGGAAGAACAUAUGUGUAAGUAACUGUGCACAUCUUGACGGUACCUAAUCAGAAAGCCACGGCUAACUACGUG
rnacentral:rRNA from 1 species